rnacentral:rRNA from 1 species
UACGAAGGGUGCAAACGUUGCUCGGAAUCAUUGGGCGUAAAGCGCACGUAGGCGGCUUGCCAAGUCGGACGUGAAAUCCCCCAGCUCAACUGAGGACGUGCAUCCGAAACUGGCGAGCUUGAGUACUGAAGAGGAUCGCGGAAUUCCCGGUGUAGAGGUGAAAUUCGUAGAUAUCGGGAGGAACACCAGUGGCGAAGGCGGCGAUCUGGGCAGAUACUGACGCUGAGGUGCGAAAGCGUGGGGAGCAAACAGG